ensembl:lncRNA
UUCCAUAUCCAGUCAUCAUUCAUCUAAUUAAAGAAGUUAAAAAUUUGAAAAUUGACCAGAACUCUUGGGAAGUACUAGAGCUCUGUUCUAAAGACCAAAUGCAGGUGGUGCUGAAAAGAACAGCAGGUUUUCAAGAACCCUCCAAGCAACAUCCAUGCGUCUGCAAAUUGAAGUGAUUGGCCUCAUUGUUUAGAAUAUUCCGAGACUCAGGCAAGUCCUGUCUUCAGCGCUGCGACUCUUUCUCGGGAAAGGAUAAGAACAUCACUUCCCAGCCAAGAUUUUGAGUUGUUUUGAUAGUUCUCUGAUCAUUCCCAGAACUGUGAAGGAAUUCUCAGCUUUAAAUCCUCUGAAAAAAAUACAGGUACUCGUAAUCCAAUAUUUGAUUAUUUUAAUGGGGCAUCGAAGGUUUAGGCAGAGUCAUGAAAUCCAAACAAGCAAUUGAAUGUUGCAACCCACUUAAUAAAAUUAGUUCCAGGACACACAAAUCACUCAGUUGGAAGAGAAUCUUCAAGAAGAGGUUAUAAUUAAAGUAAGAGGGUUUCUCAUCAAGACAGAGCCUUAGGACUUUGGCUCUGAGGUAUAUAAGCUUUGCACAUUCUUUGAACCUGUCCUCACUACUUGAAAAGAGAGGGAGAGGGGGAGAUGGAGCUAGAGCCAGAGCCAGAGCAAGAAAGGAAAGGAGGGAGAGAAUUUUAAGGAAACUAUGACGCAUAAGGGAUAAAAAGAAAAAACAUCUGCUGGAUAAUUAGCAAAUUCCUUCACAAAGAGAACAUUUAAAAGUUUAAAGUUUUCGACACCAACUAGACCACACUGUUUCCAAAGUAAUGCUUACUAUUAUUUUCUAUUCUAAAUUCAGUCAGUUCAGGAAAUUCUUUAAAGAGGAAAGUAGGGGAAGAAGUGGAAAGGGGUGCCCUCUUCAGUAACUACCAAUUGAAAUCUCAAUCUGUUGUGAAGUUUUGGUAUCUUGUGUCCCCCACGAGGGGGAAAGAGCCUUAAAUAUCAUUUCCAAGCUGGCUCAAUAUUCGUUUGUCCUCAAUUUGAACCAAAUUAAUUUGAUAUCCAAAUGUGCUACUUUUUAACCAAGUGUUGUGCUAUGCUCAGUCACUCAGUUGUGUCUGACUCCGAAGGCCUUAGGACUGCAGCCUGCCAGGCUCCUCUGUCCAUGGGAUUUCUCAGGCAAGAAUACUGGAGUGGGUUGCCAUUUCUUCCUCCAAGGGAUCUUCCCAACCCAGGGAUCAAACUCAAACCUCCUGUGUCUCCUGCACUGCAGGUGAAUUCUUUACCUGCUGAGUCAUUUGGGAAGCCCAACAAAGCAAGUAAACUAUAUAUUUCAACUUCUUCAGUUGCUGAAGUGGAAAGGGGUGAAUUGUAUUUUUAGCUGAGCAAACAUAAAAGGGAGCUGGAAAUGGUUUGGGUCCCAUAUCCAGUAAGGAAAAUGGAGAACCGGUGGCCAAUCAGUCUACAAAAUUGGCUGAAUUUCAAGAAGAAAAAUGGUGAUGAGAAAGAUUCUGUGGAUCAAGAAAUCAGAUGCGGCACAAGAAUUCAGACAGAGAGGACUAGGUUUCCGCUCCACAGUGUCUGAGAUCUGGGUGGGGAAGACUUAAGCAGCUGGAGGGGGCAUGUCCAGAGAGCCGGGGACUGGAAGCACCUGAUGCUGCUUCCUAUACAUCUGACACCUGGCCUGGGAUGACUGGAAGACUGACUCAGGUGGAACUAUGGAUUGGGACACCUACUCGUGUAAUGUCUCCUUGGAGCUUGAGAGUCCUUACAGCACAGCAGACUUGAUCUUCUUAUUUGGCAGCUUUGGAUACCAGUGAGUAAGGCAGAAGAUAGACACCAAUGGGUUGGCUGACCUUGAGUCAGAUGUUUAUAUUUGUGGCCAGUGAAAAUAGGACUAUGUUUUCAAACUUGGACAUCCGGGCUCACAAGUCUGGGUAUUUCCCAGUGAAAGGAACUAUUUUACAGUAAAAUUCAACCUAGUGGAAAUUUCUGCAGUUGCAAGUUGCAAAGAAGAAAGUUUAUGUUUUCCUUAUAAACACUUACUAAGAAUAAACUUUAUAUAUGAUGAUAAGUAAAAAUUAAAUAAACAGGAAUCAAAUACAUAGGAAUGAAAGCAAUGAGGUUGAAAAGAAGAAGGACGAUUGAAAUGAAAAGGAAAGGAAAGAAAAGGUACAAAUCAAGAGGAAAAGAACAGAAUUCACCAAAUGAAAUGUUUCCCUGAGUUUGUGUGUGCGUAUGAGACCAGUGGAUCAGUGAGAAAAAAAAUGAAUCAGGGUUUUAGAGAAACAAAAAUGCAAAACAGAGAAAAAGAGGGGGUGGGAUAUUAGUUGGAUUAUAGCCAGUUUUCCAGCUCCAAACAUCUGGAGCCAAGACAAGGAAAGGUGAGGCCCUGUCCUUUGCUGCAACACUUGCCUCCACAGGGGCUGGUUACUCAGGAUAUUUACAUUAAAUUAACGUGGCUGGCUAUGGCUGUGUUCAGCACUUGGAUACGCGGUUAAAUAAUCAGUGUGGUUUGGCUGCUGGUUUCUUUACUGUGGUUGAAUAAUUGGUGUUGUCUUGGUUGCUGGCUACUUAAAAAAUGUAUAUGUGCACUUGUUUCUCUUUUUUCUUUCUCUUGAGCAAUUUUGACAAGCCCUUGGCAGAAAAGUGGCUGACCAGCUUUCAAACCGGUGCUUUUUCUCCUUGUCAUUUAUGCUUCCCCCAGAUGGACUUGAGAAUCUUAAAGACUUUUCUUCCUGGAAUCUAGACGAUGUGCUCUGUGUUAGGAAAGAAUUCAGCUCACUUCUUUUGUUUGUAGCAAAGAGAUAAGGCUGAGUCUAAGUGCAGCUGUGGUUUACUAGAAAUGGAUGCUUCUUUUCUAGGUAUGAUUCACUAGGUCCUCAGAUCCACCAUAAGAAUGGGGAAAGACAAUUACAAUGACCUUUGGAUAAAACAACCCUGCGUUGGUGCUGUGCUUAGUCACUUAGUCGUGUCUGACUCUUUUCGACCCCACGGACUGUAGCCUGUCAGGCUCCCCUGUCCAUGGAAUUCCCCAGGCAAGAAUACUGGAGUGGGUUGCCAUGCCCUCCUCCAGGGGAUCUUCCUGACCUAUGAAUCGAACCCACUACUCUUAUGUCUCCUGCAUUGGCAGGUGGGUUCUUUACCACUAGUGCCACCUGGGAACCCCCAAACAACCCUAUAUGCAGGCAUGUUUCCCAUGUUAGUCACUUGCUAUAUCUUUAAAACGUAGAACAGUACUUGAUACAUAGUAGGUGCUCAAUAUUUGGUAAAUAAAGGAUAAUAACUGAAAAUUUAUAAUUCAGGAUUGACAGUACUUCUAUUCCAGAAAGUUUGCUUCAUUUAGUUGCUUUGUUGAUUUGCUUAACAGUUGUCAAAUUACCACAAGCUGUUCUGCCCUGGGAAACCCACUCCUCCCCAGAUGGCUCUGUCUUUUCUCAUAUUCCAAGACCCAACCCUGACUUCAGGCAAAUGAUGAUCAGGGUGAAUAAUCCUCCUUCGGCAGCAAACUGGGACAGGAGUAUCAAGAGACAGCACAAGUCAGGGACAAGCCUACACCUGCCAACAAACUCCAAUGAUAUAUGCAUAUACAUCAUGAAUGAAGGCAAAGUCUUUAACUGCUACUCGGAAACCACAGGUUCUCAGGGUCCCAGAGGAUAAGGAAACCAAAGGUCCAAGUUUGAAGUCACAUACAGAGAGGAAACUAGUGUUUCUGAGUAGGAAGUGGAAAAGAAAGAGUGUUUUUUCAAAUAUGUGUCAUCAGUAUUAGGAUAAAUUCACCUCUCCUAGAAGUCUAGAACAUGAAUUUUAUGUCAAUCAUUGUGGUUACUCAGAUUCAGGAUAGAUUGGAAAGUAUCAAGUUUCUUAAUAUUGAUUCAGAUCUAUCUCAGGGCAGAGGUGAGGGUGAAUACCUAAGAUUUUAAAGGGAUUUUGGGAGGAUUCUUUAGAAUUCAUUGAUCUUGCCAUUUUAGUAAGGAGUUUUAUUUCCCUUUAUAACAGGCAUUCUUCAACACCUUUUUUGAGAACUACUAAGACCAAGGAUAGGAAAACUCCCAGGAAAUGCAAACCUUUCAUCCCCCACACUGUGCUGGGUGCUAUGGAAACAAGGUGAAAUGGUGGCCAAGGUGGCAAGCUUAGCAGAUCACUUUCUGGGCAUUCUCACUUAUUAGGUGUUGUUGGAUCACUUAACUGCCUUCAACUUAAAUGCCAUCAAUCUUUACCUUAUUAAUUUUCUGAAGACAUAAAUAAUAAUGUUUGUCUUACACAUAAUAAGAGAAAUUAAAAUUAAAGCUACAAUGAGGUAUAAUUUUCAUCUAUCAGAUUGACAAAGAUCCAAAAGUUUAAUAACAUGUUGUGUUGGUGAUGAUGCAAGCAGAUAGCACUCCCGUACGCUGACACAACUUCUAUGGAAAAUGGCUGACCCAUUGAAACAGCACAGAAACCAGCUGAAACUGGUUUUGCCUCCUUAAAUAGGUUGAUUGAUUAAUCAACACGAGUUAUUUUAGAGAAUAGCACUUCACCUGUGCAAGUUAAAAAGCCAUGUCUCCAGGAUGACCUUGGAACUAAGAACCCCCAGCCCACCUAACUCAAAUAGAAAUGUUGCCACCAGAGCCCUUUGUGAAGCAAGAAAUUGGUCAAUAUGGAAAAUCUGACUUCCAACAUCAGUCCAUACAUCAGUUCAUAGCUUACAUGAACUGAUUCAAGACUAGCCAAUCAGCCUCCAAAUUUGAAACUCCCCAACCUUUUAAAUUUCACCCUGAACUGUGGAUCAUGGAGACAGAUUGGAGUCUGGCCUCCUGUCUCUUUGCUGGUCAACCUCACAAUAAAGCUCUUCAUUUUCUCAAAAGCUGGUGUCAUGGUACUGGCUUCUGUGUCCACAGGGGCAGUGAACCUGCUUUGUAACACUAUCAUAAAUAGAACUGUGGAUCUAUCACAGUUUAAAAUGUACCUCCUCUUUGAUGCAGUAAUGUCACUUCCUAAAAUGUAUCCUCUGGCUGUAUUAAAGUACUUAUAAAAAGACAUAUGUGCAAGGUUACUCACUGCUGCAUUGAAACCACAAAAAAUGAACUUUGUUCAUCAGUAAAGGACUGGCUAAAUAAUGUAUGGAACAUCAAAAAAAUGGGAUACUAUGCACUCAUCAAAAGGAUAAGCAAGUAAUAGAUCAGUGCUUGGAACAGCAUCCAAAAUAUAUUAUGAAGUGAAAAAAAGGCAAAGAUUAUUAUUUUAAAAGAUUUAUUUUGUAUACAUAUGUAAUAUCUCUGGGGACACAUAUAAAGCUUUGAUAACAGUUGUUGAGGGAGAAGAAAAAAGAAAUACUGGACUUCCCUGGUGGUCUAGUGGUUAAGAAUCCUGCCGAUGCGGGGGAAACACGUUCGAGCCUUGGUCUGAGAAGAUUCCGUAUGCCUUAAGGAAGCUAAGCCCAUAUGCUGUAACUACUGAGCCUGUGGUCUCUCUAGAGCCCAGGAACCACAAUACUGAAGCCUGCAUGCCCUGGAGCCCGUGCUCUGCAACAGGAAAUACCACCACAAGAAGCCCAUGCACGGCAACAAGAGAGUAGCCCCCCUCACUGCAGCCAGAGAAAGCCUGCAUG